rnacentral:rRNA from 1 species
UACGUGUGAGGCGAGCGUUAUUCGUCAUUAAUGGGUCUAAAGGGUGCGUAGGCGGCGCGGUAAGUCGGGUGUGAAAUCUCGGAGCUUAACUCCGAAACUGCAUUCGAUACUGCCGUGCUUGAGGACUGGAGAGGAGACUGGAAUUUACGGUGUAGCGGUGAAAUGCGUAGAUAUCGUAAGGAAGACCAGUGGCGAAGGCGGGUCUCUGGACAGUUCCUGACGCUGAGGCACGAAGGUCAGGGGAGCAAACGGG